rnacentral:lncRNA from 1 species
AUGUUCAAACUGUCCUCUUUGUUCUUUGUUCAGCGUUUGGAUAAAAGUAUCGAGAAAGAGCUGUUUCUGCUUAAUAAGAGUGGUGGUCCAGUUAGUGACGCUGCUGAUCUGAGUCACAUUGAGCUCCAAGCUCAUCUUCCCCUUCAGCAAACUCUCCAUGACCGCACAAAAUGCUUGGAUCAGCAAAGACAAUGUCUGAGAAAGAGUGAAUCGGCCCUGAUGGGCCUCGUGAACCUCUUAUCACAUCUCCAGCAGGUGAAUGCCGACCUCAACGCAGCUCACAGCACAUCAAAUCGCAGUUUAGUCUCCAUCCGGCAAAGCCUUCAGCAGGCCAGGGAAGAAUCGGUUCAGCUAGACCGAAUGCUGGAUGAUGCUGGCAUGAGAAUAACUCUGGAUGACAAACCAGGCAGCUGUCAUGAGAUGGUGUCAGCUCUGGCACUGCGUGCCGAAGAGGUCGAGGCCAAACUGGCUGUAGGGCUGAAGCAAACUGACAGAGGAGGGAAAGGAAGAGCGGAGGGAGAACAGAGGGACAGAGUGUUCAGUAGGAAGAGGAUGGGCCUGCAGGUCGCCCUGAGGGAGGUGCUGGCAGCACUUGAAAAACAUGGCCUGAAGGAGCCCACACUUCCUGCACUACAGCACAGGUUACGCUUCCUGACAGACAUGGAGAGCAAACUGUUUGCACUACGCUCAGAGAUUCAGGAUCUGAGAAAAACUUGUGAACAGACAAGCACCUCAGAGACAGCCAUCAGCGAGCUGCAGACGCAAUGGGAAAACGCACACAGAACAGUCACAGAGAGGUGAUGAGAAAUGCACAUGAUUAUAGGAAAGCACUUGGUGAAAUGCCAUUUCACAUUUUUCAUGCUUCUGUUUCAGUCGUGAACAGUGUGUCUCUCUGAGCGAACUACUGAAGAAGUUCCAGAGCUGCCGAAAUCGCUUGGGCAGCACUUUGCAGAAAGCAGAGCAGACUAUUGGUGACCAGGCCUCCUAUAUUGGCAAAGACAACCUGCAGCUCCUGAUCAGUAAGGUACAGAAAUACUGAAAAAUCCUGUGUGCAGUGCUUCCAUUCUUGGUGGACUGCAGGUGGCAGUAUUAACCUCAUUGUUUUAGAUUAUUUUUAGUGUUAACUACAUGUAUACAACAUAUUCAUUAGAUAAAACUGGGGAUAGAAUGAGUAUAAAUAACUACAUGACUAUUAUUUAUAUUUUGUGUAUGUGUGCAGGUGACCAGUAUAAAGACAGAUCUCGGUGGUCUUGGGGACGGGGUGGAGGAGUUCAGAGCUGUGUGUCGACAGCUGCAGUCUCUGAUGAGAAGGAUCCCAGACUGUGCUGAAGCUCCAUUUGAGAGUGAGGCUGACACCCUCAUGGACCGCUGGCUUGAUGUAUGUUCCCUCAGUAAUGCCGUAGUGUGAUUGAAAUACUCUCACUCUAUUUUUCUAAUAAUGUUCAGUGUUUGCAUUAACCUGCUAUUUCAGGUCACCGAGAAAGCAGACUGUCAUCUGGACAACCUUCAAGCUGGCUUCUCUCUUUGGGAAAAACUCCAACUGCUGGCUGGAGAGGUGGAGGGCUGGAGCGCCCAAAAGCUGAUGACACUUGCUGAGUCACACCCCUUUCAGACAGAGCAGGAUGUGUCUGCCAUGCAGGUAAAACCUUGUUUUGGUAUAACUUUUGGAUAAUAAUAUUGUGGAUGUUAACUGAACAUUUAUGGAAAGAAAUAUGAAAAAGAAAAUAAGGAAUA